CCUACGGGAGGCAGCAGUGAGGAAUAUUGGUCAAUGGGCUUACGCCUGAACCAGCCAAGUCGCGUGAGGGAAGACUGCCCUAUGGGUUGUAAACCUCUUUUGUCAGGGAGCAAUUGGCGCUACGUGUAGCGUUAUCGAGAGUACCUGAAGAAAAAGCAUCGGCUAACUCGGUGCCAGCAGCCGCGGUAAUACGGAGGAUGCGAGCGUUAUCCGGAUUUAUUGGGUUUAAAGGGUGCGUAGGCGGAAUGCCAAGUCAGCGGUAAAAUCGCGGGGCUCAACCUCGCUCCGCCGUUGAAACUGGCGUGCUUGAGUGGGCGAGAAGUAUGCGGAAUGCGUGGUGUAGCGGUGAAAUGCAGAGAUAUCACGCAGAACUCCGAUUGCGAAGGCAGCAUACCGGCGCCCAACUGACGCUGAAGCACGAAAGCGUGGGUAUCGAACAGGAUUAGAUACCCCUGUAGUC
rnacentral:rRNA from 1 species